GAUGAACGCUGGCGGCGUGCCUAAUACAUGCAAGUCGAGCGAACAGACGAGGAGCUUGCUCCUCUGACGUUAGCGGCGGACGGGUGAGUAACACGUGGAUAACCUACCUAUAAGACUGGGAUAACUUCGGGAAACCGGAGCUAAUACCGGAUAAUAUAUUGAACCGCAUGGUUCAAUAGUGAAAGACGGUUUUGCUGUCACUUAUAGAUGGAUCCGCGCCGCAUUAGCUAGUUGGUAAGGUAACGGCUUACCAAGGCGACGAUGCGUAGCCGACCUGAGAGGGUGAUCGGCCACACUGGAACUGAGGCACGGUCCAGACUCCUACGGGAGGCAGCAGUAGGGAAUCUUCCGCAAUGGGCGAAAGCCUGACGGAGCAACGCCGCGUGAGUGAUGAAGGUCUUCGGAUCGUAAAACUCUGUUAUUAGGGAAGAACAAAUGUGUAAGUAACUCUGCACGUCUUGACGGUACCUAAUCAGAAAGCCACGGCUAACUACGUG
rnacentral:rRNA from 1 species